AUUGAACGCUGGCGGCAUGCCUAACACAUGCAAGUCGAACGAGUGGCGGACGGGUGAGUAAUGUCGGGACAACUGCCUGAUGGAGGGGGAUAACUACUGGAAACGGUAGCUAAUACCGCAUACCAUCGGAUGUGCCCAGGUGGGAGUAGCUAGUAGGUGGGGUAACGGCUCACCUAGGCGACGAUCCCUAGCUGGGCUGAGAGGGUGACCGGCCACACUGGAACUGAGACACGGCCCAGACUCCUACGGGAGGCAGCAGUGGGGAAUAUUGGACAAUGGGCGAAAGCCUGAUGCAGCCAUGCCGCGUGUAUGAAGAAGGCCUUCGGGUUGUAAAGCACUUUCAGCGAGGAGGCGUUACUCGCAGAAGAAGCACCGGCUAACUCCGUGCCAGCAGCCGCGGUAAUAC
rnacentral:rRNA from 1 species